rnacentral:rRNA from 1 species
AUUGAACGCUGGCGGCGUGCUUAACACAUGCAAGUCGAUCGGUAACGCGGGGGCAACCCUGGCGACGAGAGGCGGACGGGUGAGGAACGCUUGGGAAUCUGCCUAUCAGCGGGGGACAACACGGGGAAACUCGUGCUAAUACCGCAUACGCUCUACGGAGGAAAGCCGGGGACCGCAAGGCCUGGCACUGAUAGAUGAGCCCAAGCCGGAUUAGCUAGUUGGCGGGGUAACGGCCCACCAAGGCGACGAUCCGUAGCUGGUCUGAGAGGACGAUCAGCCACACUGGGACUGAGACACGGCCCAGACUCCUACGGGAGGCAGCAGUGGGGAAUAUUGGACAAUGGGGGAAACCCUGAUCCAGCGACGCCGCGUGGGUGAAGAAGGCCUGCGGGUUGUAAAGCCCUUUCGGUAGGGACGAAAGCUCUCGACCUAACACGUCGGGAGGUUGACUUAACCUACAAAAGAAGCACCGGCUAACUCUGUGCCAGCAGCCGCCGCCGUAA